UUGAUCCUGGCUCAGGAUGAACGCUAGCUACAGGCUUAACACAUGCAAGUCGGGGGGCAGCAUGAAGUCAGCUUGCUGACUUUGAUGGCGACCGGCGCACGGGUGAGUAACGCGUAUCCAACCUACCCCUUAGUAGGGCAUAGCCCGUAGAAAUGCGGAUUAAUACCCUAUGUUUUCCGAGGAUGGCAUCUGACUUGGAACAAAGAUUCAUCGCUAAGGGAUGGGGAUGCGUCCGAUUAGCUUGCCGGCGGGGUAACGGCCCACCGGGGCGACGAUCGGUAGGGGUUCUGAGAGGAAGGUCCCCCACACUGGAACUGAGACACGGUCCAGACUCCUACGGGAGGCAGCAGUGAGGAAUAUUGGUCAAUGGGCGAAGGCCUGAACCAGCCAAGUAGCGUGAGGGACGACUGCCCUAUGGGUUGUAAACCUCUUUUGUUUGGGAAUAAAGUGAGGCACGUGUUGCCUUUUUGUAUGUACCUUACGAAUAAGCAUCGGCUAAUUCCGUGCCAGCAGCCGCGGUAAUACGGAAGAUGCGAGCGUUAUCCGGAUUUAUUGGGUUUAAAGGGAGCGUAGGCGGGCCUUUAAGCCAGCGGUCAAAUGUCAUGGCCCAACCUUGGCAUGCCGUUGGAACUGUUGGCCUUGAAUACACACAAGGAAGGUGGAAUUCGUCGUGUAGCGGUGAAAUGCUUAGAUAUGACGAAGAACUCCGAUUGCGAAGGCAGCCUUCUGGGGUGCGAUUGACGCUGAGGCUCGAAAGUGCGGGUAUCGAACAGGAUUAGAUACCCUGGUAGUCCGCACGGUAAACGAUGGAUGCCCGCUGUUUGCCUUUGAGGUAAGCGGCCAAGCGAAAGCAUUAAGCAUCCCACCUGGGGAGUACGCCGGCAACGGUGAAACUCAAAGGAAUUGACGGGGGCCCGCACAAGCGGAGGAACAUGUGGUUUAAUUCGAUGAUACGCGAGGAACCUUACCCGGGCUUGAACUGCAGGAGAACGAUUCAGAGAUGAUGAGGUCCUUCGGGACUCCUGUGGAGGUGCUGCAUGGUUGUCGUCAGCUCGUGCCGUGAGGUGUCGGCUUAAGUGCCAUAACGAGCGCAACCCUUCUCUUCAGUUGCCAUCAGGCUAUGCUGGGCACUCUGGAGACACUGCCACCGUAAGGUGUGAGGAAGGUGGGGAUGACGUCAAAUCAGCACGGCCCUUACGUCCGGGGCUACACACGUGUUACAAUGGCGCGUACAGAGGGCUGGUGUAUGGCAACAUGCAUCGAAUCCUUAAAACGCGUCUCAGUUCGGACCGGGGUCUGCAACCCGACCCCGCGAAGCUGGAUUCGCUAGUAAUCGCGCAUCAGCCAUGGCGCGGUGAAUACGUUCCCGGGCCUUGUACACACCGCCCGUCAAGCCAUGAAAGCCGGGGGCGCCUGAAGUCCGUGACCGCGAGGGUCGGCCUAGGGUGAAACCGGUGAUUGGGGCUAAGUCGUAACAAGGUA
rnacentral:rRNA from 1 species